UACGUAGGGGGCGAGCGUUGUCCGGAUUUAUUGGGCGUAAAGAGCUCGUAGGCGGCUUAGCAAGUCGGGUGUGAAAACUCCAGGCUCAACCUGGAGACGCCACUCGAGACUGCUAUGGCUAGAGUCCGGUAGGGGACCACGGAAUUCCUGGUGUAGCGGUGAAAUGCGCAGAUAUCAGGAGGAACACCGGUGGCGAAGGCGGCAUCCUGGACCAACACUGACGCUGAGGAGCGAAAGCGUGGGGAGCAAACAGG
rnacentral:rRNA from 1 species